UUCCUCACUCCUUCACUUCCUCUCUCUUUGUUAUAUCUCACGCACAUACCCUGAGAGCCAAAAACUCUCCUCUCUCUCAGCCCUACGCCUCUUCCUCUCUCCCUCUUUCAUACCUUUUCACUCUAUUAGCCCCUCUAUCUCUCUCCGGACUUCUAUCUCCGUGAGCGACAGUGACCCACCACAGCCUAUACCAUCGACACUUUUUCGGCAAUCUAUUUACUAGUAUGUUUAAUUUUAUGUGUUUAUUGCUUAAAUUUUUGGGUUUAUGGUUUCAAUUUCUGGGUUUAUGGCUUAAAUUUCUGGGUUUGUCGAUGAAUAAAACAAAUUGGAAAUCAGAUCAUGGUCUGUCUUUGUAAUCAAAAUUGUCCAUCAUUGCGUGUAAUGGUUCAGAGGUGAUGGUGUGUGGGCGCCUCAUUGCUCGCCAAGAAUCAACCUUUGUAACAAUCAGGUGAUCUGGUUUCAAAAAGGGACAUCUCAAACGAAGUUGUGUGAGAAAGCUUAUUCCCAUUUGUUCUCAUGUGUUUUUUUUUUUUUUGAUUUCUUUUCUUCUUUUGUUUUUUUUUUUUGGAUCUGAGGACUACGAAUUUAGUUCUAGGAAGAGCAAAUAUUUUUAUUUUUAUUUAUUUUUAUGUUGUGUGCAUUUUGUCUUAUUUAUAUUUUUUUUUCUUGCUCAAUCUGCUAAAAUUUUAGUGUCAAUGCUCCAAUAUUUUCUUGCCCAG
rnacentral:lncRNA from 1 species